CCUACGGGUGGCUGCAGUGGGGAAUAUUGGACAAUGGGGGCAACCCUGAUCCAGCCAUGCCGCGUGUGUGAAGAAGGCCCUCGGGUUGUAAAGCACUUUCAGUGAGGAAGAACGCCUGGUGGUUAAUACCCAUCAGGAAAGACAUCACUCACAGAAGAAGCACCGGCUAACUCCGUGCCAGCAGCCGCGGUGAUACGGAGGGUGCGAGCGUUAAUCGGAAUUACUGGGCGUAAAGCGCGCGUAGGUGGCUUGAUAAGCCGGUUGUGAAAGCCCCGGGCUCAACCUGGGAACGGCAUCCGGAACUGUCAAGCUAGAGUGCAGGAGAGGAAGGUAGAAUUCCCGGUGUAGCGGUGAAAUGCGUAGAGAUCGGGAGGAAUACCAGUGGCGAAGGCGGCCUUCUGGACUGACACUGACACUGAGGUGCGAAAGCGUGGGUAGCAAACAGGAUUAGAUACCCGGGUAGUC
rnacentral:rRNA from 1 species